rnacentral:misc_RNA from 1 species
UGACUGUUUAGCAAUGUCUCAAACCAUCCACUACCAGAUCUCUGUGUCGACAAUAUUGCAAAAUUCCUUACAGGAUUGCAAGCACAUUCCGCCCGGCUAAAAGUCUUUGGUUUGGGGAAGUGCACAUAAGGUUUUUCUGAAGGUUCAAUAUCAGUUGCCUCACACGGCUUUUCAACCACAUGAACACUUACUAUCCGUCCAGUGGUAUGCACACCAAUUUGUUUCAAGCCAAUUGAACAUAUAUAAACUCCACAUACCAUUGCAAAGAUUAAGACCACCAUCCUCAGCAUCAUUGGAGAAGCCUUUGGUGGCUUAAUGAUGGACUCCUUGCUGAAAAAACAAAAAUCGUCAGCCAUUUUUGUGCUUAAAAAAAGGGAUUAAGA